rnacentral:rRNA from 1 species
UACGUAGGGGGGCAAGCGUUGUCCGGAAUCAUUGGGCGUAAAGCGCGUGUAGGCGGCCAGAAAAGUCCGCUGUGAAAACUCGAGGCUCAACUUCGAGCUGUCGGUGGAAACUUUCUGGCUAGAGUCCGGAAGAGGAGAAUGGAAUUCCUGGUGUAGCGGUGAAAUGCGCAGAUAUCAGGAAGAACACCCGUGGCGAAGGCGGUUCUCUGGGACGGUACUGACGCUGAGACGCGAAAGCGUGGGGAGCGAACAGG